GAGAAGCAAUACCCAAAGGCGGGAUGAGGGCGGGAAGUUGCCAAGGUAAGUAGGUAACUACCCAAGAAAACGAAUUCGCAUUGCACUUCCACGUCCUGUGUUCGCACGCGAGAUACGCAACUCCUCCCUGCGCGUUCACUUCACGCCCAUCCGCUUAUACAGUCGAGUUUCAACCCUCAACGGUCAUAACUGCUCUCAAGCAAAAGCGAUAAUCCAUCCCUUUCCCUGUUUCCCUUCAAACAAAAACAAUGGCGUCUCAAAACUCUAAUCCCCCAAAACCCCUAUAUCCCGAAGUGAUCCUAUCAAAUCCUGAUUCCCCUUCUCAUCUACACUCAAAACCUAAUUCUGAAUCCUCCUCUUCCAACCUUUAUCCUACCAUAGACAUGCGCGAUCUCGUCGAAAACCUGUUCCCUGACCCCGAAGAAUAUAAUCACUGCGCCCCCUCUGCCCCGCCGGUGGCCACGGAGGAAGUAUUGAUCAAAAUCCCCGGUGCCAUUCUGAAUCUCAUUGACAAAAACUAUAGCGUCGAGCUCGCUUGUGGAGAUCUCACCAUUGUCCGCCUCUGCCAGGGUGGUAAUAUCGUUGCCGUUCUCGCUCGCGUCGCGGAUGAGAUCCAAUGGCCGUUAGCCAAGGACGAGGCCGCAGUAAAACUAGACGAUUCGCAUUACUUUUUCUCCCUCCGGUUACCCAAUGAGCAUCAGGGUUCCGAUUCGAGCAGUGACGAGGAGGACAAGAAGAGUAGAAACAAGAAAAUUAGUGAUUCAGGUGAUAUAUUGAAUUAUGGUUUGACCAUUGCAUCAAAAGGGCAGGAGGCGUUGUUGAAGGAGUUCGAUGUCAUUUUACAGGCUUAUAGCUGUUUUACGGUUCAGAAAGUUUCGGAGAAGGCGAAAGGUAAGGGAGAGGCUUUGUUGGAUGAAUUGACACCGAAGGAGGCUUCACCGGCGGAUUUGCAUUAUGAGGAGAAGAAAGAGUUGUUGGAGGGGCAGUCUGCCGCAUAUUGGACCACAUUGGCGCCCAAUGUGGAGGAUUAUAGUAGCACUUCUGCUAAGGUUAUUGCUGCUGGUUCCGGGCAUCUAAUUAAGGGCAUUUUGUGGUGUGGGGAUGUGACUGUCGAUAGGCUGAAAUGGGGGAAUGAGAUCAUGAAAAGGAGGAUGAGUCCCAGGUCGAAGUCAGAGAUUAGUCCUGACACUAUGAAGAGGAUUAGAAGAGUUAAGAGGAUGACAAAAAGGACAGAGAAAGUUGCCAAUGGAGUUCUUUCCGGAGUUGUGAAAGUAUCUGAAAUUUUCACUAGUAAAGUUGCAAAUUCAAAAGCGGGCAAGAAAUUCUUAGGCCUUCUGCCAGGAGAAAUUGUGCUUGCUUCCCUUGAUGGAUUUACCAAGAAAGAAAUAGAAGGAAAAACAAUAGGCACUCGACCAAGGCAAAGCAAACAUAGGAGAGCAACUAGAUCCACCACACAAGAUUACCCUCACAUACAAGCCUAGAUCUGAGACCUCCAGAAGAAACAAAGAACAAAAAACUAUUUACGAUUCAUACCCGGUGAGGGACUAGUAAAAAUCCCUCCUUGGUAGGGGGCAAAGAGGAGUCGCACGAGCUGCACGCUCUCGGCGGGAUGAAGGAGACUCAGCUCCUACGGAAGAAAGAAGAGAAGGGAGGCAGAACGUUCCUCUCGCUAUAAACUUAGAGAGAGAACCUCUAUGUCUUUAUAAUGGUAGGAUUAUUUUAAUGUUGUAUAUAUGUUCAUGUGUCAGGUGAUAUAUGUGGACUCUUUAGUCAUUGUUAGAACAUGAUCCUAUGUUUUCCUCUGUCUUGUCCUUCAUCUGCAUAUUGCUUGACCUCAUCUUUUUCUUUUUUCCUUUUGUCUUUUCGAAUACCGUAUUUGCAGCAUGUGUGUCUGUUUGGGCAUUUCUUCCUACAGUGUUGAAUUUCUUCAGAUCAAAUAUAAUUGUUUUUUUUUUUUGACCCAAAAAAAUAUAUAAUUGUUUGUGUUCAAGCUUCCUAGAUUGGACUUUUAUUAAUUGUUCAUUUAACUAUACGGAAACUUCCGAUAAUCUUCGUUAUAUUUAUCAUU